AACGUAGGACGCAAGCGUUAUCCGGAGUUACUGGGCGUAAAGGGCGGGCAGGCGGUUCGUCAAGUGGGGUGUGAAAGCUCCCAGCUUAACUGGGAGAGGCCAUUCCAAACUGACGGGCUGGAGGGCAGCAGAGGUAGGCGGAAUUCCGGGUGGAGUGGUGAAAUGCGUAGAGAUCCGGAGGAACACCAGAGGCGAAGGCGGCCUUCUGGGCUGCUCCUGACGCUGAACCGCGAAAGCUAGGGGAGCGAACGGG
rnacentral:rRNA from 1 species